rnacentral:rRNA from 1 species
AUUGAACGCUGGCGGCAGGCCUAACACAUGCAAGUCGAGCGGAUGAAGGGAGCUUGCUCCUGGAUUCAGCGGCGGACGGGUGAGUAAUGCCUAGGAAUCUGCCUGGUAGUGGGGGAUAACGUCCGGAAACGGGCGCUAAUACCGCAUACGUCCUGAGGGAGAAAGUGGGGGAUCUUCGGACCUCACGCUAUCAGAUGAGCCUAGGUCGGAUUAGCUAGUUGGUGGGGUAAAGGCCUACCAAGGCGACGAUCCGUAACUGGUCUGAGAGGAUGAUCAGUCACACUGGAACUGAGACACGGUCCAGACUCCUACGGGAGGCAGCAGUGGGGAAUAUUGGACAAUGGGCGAAAGCCUGAUCCAGCCAUGCCGCGUGUGUGAAGAAGGUCUUCGGACUGUAAAGCACUUUAAGUUGGGAGGAAGGGCAGUAAGUUAAUACCUUGCUGUUUUGACGUUACCAACAGAAUAAGCACCGGCCAACUUCGUG